rnacentral:lncRNA from 1 species
AAAAGCAAUUGGAAAUCGUUUUGAAUGCAAGUAUAACAUGUGUGGAGAUGAAACCCUUAGCUAGCCUUACAUCCAUUUAUUUAAAUCAAAUUCGUUUUCAAAAUCUGUCUAGUUUACAAAGUUUGUUUUGUUUUUAAAUUCGUCCAAAAUCAAUCCCCCUUCACUUUGUUGAGUCAUAGUAGUUAGAAUUCACUUUAGUUUGUGUUUUUAAGUGUCUUAGGUCAAGUUAAAACCAAUUUUCGUCCAAGUUUGUGUCUAGUGUUCAAAACUCCCCAGAUUGUGUUUUUAACACAGUUUUGAGUGUUUAUUUGCUGUUUUGAGUCUUUUGGUUUGUUUUGGUGUUUUAAAGUUUAGUUUUGCAUUCUUUGAGUCUAAUUUAGUGUUUUAAACUUGUUUUUACGUAUUUGAGUCAGUUUUUAAGUGAUUUAGCAAUCCCUCCUAAUCUCCGGCCUAGAACGAUCCCUACUUACAUACUUGCUACAAUUGAGAGGGUUAAUUUGAGUGCUAGUUAAUUUUCACAUCACAUGAUACUUAUGCCAGGAAUUUACUUAACACGAUUGUGAUUAGCAACCUCCACUACUUAAGAAUAUAAGUUCAUAACGAUUAGGUGAAACUCCCUUAUAUCCUAGCAUCAGAUUUAUGCAUGAAAAUUAAGUGUGCACUCUCAACCCAUAUGCAAAAACAAGUUUUAAUUCAAACAACUAAGUAAAUUGAAUUCACAAUUUAUGAAAUUACAACUGGAUGUAAUCAAAUCAUAUUGCAAGUAUAGUCAUGGUUUCGAAAUUCCCCCCAGCUAAGAAGGGUUUAGUUCCUCAUACUUGCAAAACAAAGAUUAUUAAACUUAAACAUUGAAAACAAAAGAAAGAUUACACCUAAAAACAUUCCAGCAACUCUAACUUGAAAUGGCAAGCACGUCCAAGGGCUUUCCUUCUUCUUCUUUGCUACGGCACAAGGUAUGGUUGAUGAUUUUUGUGGUGAAUUAUGGUGGUGGAUGAGUGAUGGGUGAUGAGAGUAUGAAGGGUGCGGCUGGAUGUGUGUAUUGGAGAAUGGAUGGAAUAUGGUUGAAAAGCAUGAAUGGUAGACAAUGGAUGUGGGGUGGUGUGGAUGAAUGAUGAAUGUCCAAUGGCUGUUACACACACUUACUUAAAUAGCAAAAUAUGUCAAAACACUAGGGAAAUACAGCUAGGGUGCGGCAGAAAAACCAAGGGAAAGAAAGUAAUGAUUGUAGAAGGAUUUUUUACUCUAAAUCAAAUCAGAAUCCAAGGAAAAGGUUAAGGGGACAAGGAAGGGGACACAAGGCAAGGGAAAGGGAAAGGUUAUGACACAAUAGUGAAAGUGAAAGUGAAAGUGAAAUUUGUGACAGAAAUCUAGAAGAAAGGGGAAGGAGUGCACAGCUAGGGAAAAGAAAGGGAGUGGUGUGACAAGGAAAAGGGAAGGAAAGGCAAAAGGUUAAGGCUGCAAGGAGGGAGACAUGGAUGUGUGCAUGGCAAGGAAGGUGAAAGAUGGUGGAAUGGUUCAGCAAGGGGACAAUGAAGGGGACAAGGGUGGUGUGGAAGGCAAGGAAGGGGAAAGUGAUAAAAUGGUGCACCAAUGAGACAAUGGAGGGGACAAGAAUGGUGUGCACGGCAAGGAAGGUGAAAGGUGGUGUGACACCCCUUUGUGGCUGAGAUUAAGGCUGCUAGAAUCCUUUAUUUAGUGUCUUAAUAUCUUUGGAAACCCUCAUUGUGGCUGGAACUUAGUUGGAUUAGGAUUAAGAAAGGUUAAAUCAAAAUAAGGUAACUUGACUCAUGUUUCUUCUUUUCUUGCUGAGCGCUUUAUCUUCUUUAAAUUAAUACUUCUUUCUCUUUAACACAUUCCUAGCCUCUUUAGUCUUCAAUUUCAUCUAUCCACCUUGCUCCAUGCAUGUGCUAUCCAUUCCAAGCCCAAAAAUGCUCCAAAAUGCACCUUAUUGCUUCAUAAGGCCUAUGGACCUACAAACAGAUGAAAAUAGCUUAAAAUACUAAAAUAACGAAGAACUAAUUAAGUAAAUGCAAGGAAACAAGCUAAUUAAGUCGUAUAAAUAUGCUCCUAUCAAAUUUCCCCACACUUAGCUUUUGCUAGUCCUUGAGCAAAACAAAACAAAACCUAAACCUUCCAACAUUUGCCUCAGGGAUUUCCAAUGAAACAUGACAUGCCAAAAUCACUACUUACAUGAAUUUUAGCAAUCCUUACUCUCGAGCAUACACUUAAUCAUAGUCACCAUUCACUAGCUCACAUUUAAUCAAUUAAAACAACAUUUUGAAUGUAGUAACAUGCCUUAGAGAAUUCCCUCAAGUCCUCACCAGAUUCUCUCUUAUUUUCACACAAGACUUUCUGACUACACUCCCUAUACUAGGUAUAUGUGAGAAGAUUGAUGUAAAUAUGAAAACUAGUACUCACAUAUGUUUAUAACAAAGAGAGCAAUUUCUGGAAUUAUUAAUGCAUGUAUAUAUAUGAUCUCAUGAACGGAAUGCCACUACUUAGAAGCGAGAACUAGGGAUUCCAUAUGCUCAUACCAAUUCCAAACUCCACAUAUUGAAACACACAACACUCAAUAUAGAAGUUAAGGGUUGUAACGGGGCUAAGGGUAUUGGCUAACAAAGAAAGGUAAGGGAUAAACAAAAGUUCUUAAAGAAAUAGCAAGCAAAGUAAUAAAAUUGACACUUAGAAUUCACUUUCGAAUGCAAAAAUCAACUUUAAACACAAGGGAAGAUUUAUGCAAUACUUAGGGUCAAAUUCAAACUUUUGGACCCUUUCUUCAACAACCAUCACAUGUGAGUUCAUUCUCACUUAUUUUCAACUGUUUUUCAUUUUUUUCACACACUUUUUCUUUUCUUUUUCUUUUUCCACAAAUUUUUUUUAUUAUUAUUUUUUAAAACCAUGCCCUUUUCUUUGGCACACAGAACAUACAUUUUGAAAUCCUUCCCCCACACUUGUUUUUCUGCAAAAAUCAAAAGGAAUUCCCUCUAAGUCAUGCUUCACUAUUCUUUAAGAACAAGGGUAUUGGUAGUCCUAAUCUAGGCUAGGUAGGGAUAAUGUGGUUAACAAAGAAAAUAGGCUGACAAAGGCUCAAAGGGGUUAAACCUACAAAACAUAUGAUAAAGGGAUAGGCUUUUUGGCUCUAGUUUAACUAAACAACUUCAUCUUGAAUAUGUGUUAUGCACUCAGUAUCAUGCUUUGAAUGGAACGGGCAUGAGUUCUAGUAUUUGGAUCUAUAAUGAUGAAAACCAAGCAAAGAAUAAUACAAUCAUGCAACGACUUUAGAAAACAAGAAUGCACAGAUUAAUAACUCUCCAAAUAAACUUUUAGGCUCAAGUCUCUCAGGGAUGUAGCGUUAAUUUGAGUUCCUUCCUUCAAGCAUGUUACAAAAACUGGAUUUUUUCAUUUGUGAUUACAUGUGAAUUCGUAAACUAUAACUAUAACCAAGCAUAAACCAAAGAGCAUAUCAAACUUUCAUCCAUGUUUGUAACUUUCUUUAACAGUCAUGCAAUUAAAAACCAAAUCCUCAUCAUUGUGUUGGAACGUACCCUAAGACACAAACACACAAAAACAACUCUAAAACACUCUUUUUGGGUAUUUUUUAAAAGGAUUUUUCAAAUUUUUUUUUUUAAUUUUCGGAUUUUCUGCUAUAGGACACAUUAAAACACCUCAAAACACACUAAAACACAUAAAAACAGUGAGAAACAACUUAGAAGUGAUAGGUGAUAAAAUCCCACGAAAAUCAUGCAAAAACAGCUUGUUUACCCCCCCCCCCCCCACACUUAAACUAAACAUUGUCCUCAAUGUUUCAAACAUAGACUCACAAAAGCAAACAAACAAACAACAAACAAAGCAUGGCAAAAUAAAUGCAGUAAAGAGAAGGUUUUAGGAACACAAAUCUAGUUUUGGAGUGAAAAUUCCAUCUUCUCCUUGUUGAAUGCAUGGGUUGCCUCCCAAUAAGCGCUUGCUUUAACGUCUUGCAGCCAAACGAUGCUUCCAUUCAAACUCCCCUAGGUCCCAUGGCAUGUAAUUGAUCUUUGAAUAGAAGGUGAUACUUGAAAUGAUCCGGCAUUGGUUCAAAUUCUAGAGUGGGUGCCUGAAUCAUCAAAAUCAACAUGUUAGUAUAAAACGUAAUGGAAAUUGGAGAAGAUGACUUACUUGCUUUGUCCGACAAGAACUCGAUGACAAACACCACUUCUUUGAAAGUUUCAGGGAGAUUGGACUUGGCCAGAUUUAAUGUGAUGGUUGUGACUUGUCCUGUGUCAUAAAAUCCAACUUCUUUGGGAAUUUUCGUCUCAAGUAUAUUCUCUUUGAUGAAUUCUAGACAUUCCCCAUCCACUUCUUGCUUUUGAUUCUUUGGAAAGGUUUCGAAUAUGCCUUUCUCACCCUCUUAUUCCUUGGAUUGCAUGAUCCUGCAAGGAAUAAGGACAUUUGGUGGAACAGGGUCAGGACGAAUGGAAUUUGGGCUUACCUUGGUUGUAGUGGACGACAUAGAGGGCAUAUGGGGCUGCGGCAAGGGUGUUGGUACUAGGAUAGGCUGUGGCAAGGGUGGUUCUUCGCUUGUCGUGGCCUUGUUAUCCUCAUCUUCUUCGAGUAGCAGUUGUUCAUCCAUGUUUUGGCUUGGUUUGGAUGUCUUGGGUUAAUCUCUAACCUCCAUGCGACUUUCCAAGGUGAUAGCUUCAGCAAUUUCAACAAUUAAGUCAAAUAGUUCACUUUGUUCUUGUAUUUGCCCCAUGAAUUCCAUGAUCUCUCGCUUUUGAUUCUUCAAUUCGCUCAUUACUUGGGCUUGAUUUGCUAUUCAAUGAUUUUGAUUUUGUAAUCCCUGCGAUACAUAAGUUAGUAAUUAAAUAGCUUGAUCAUUAUCAAAUAAUGAACCUGAAUUUGGUUGGACAUAUUGUUGUGGGGGAGGCUGUGGUGGUGCAUAUGGCUACCAAUAUUCUCCUUGUUGAGCAUCCUUGGCUUGAUUUUGUGAGCCCUGCACCAAAAAUUUAAUUCAUCAAAAAUUCAAUCAUAAUCUAUUAACGAACCUAAGUUUGAUUGAGCAUAUUGUAUAUGAGGCUGUGAUGGCUGCAUAGGUCUUGAAUAGAACUUCUCAUAUGGCUGCCAAUGUCCUUCGUGUUGAACUUGUUGAGCUUCCCACCACAUAGAGUUUGAAUGAUCACUCCAAUCUCUUUGUGGAUAUUGAUUGGCUUGAUAUCCUUGCCUAUAAGACGCACCAAAUGUAGGGACACUUUGCAUUGUGGUCCUUUCGGCAUACUACGACAAUUGAGAAGUAAGAUUUGCCAAUUGAGCUUGAAUGUUAGUAAUUGCCAUGUCUUGCUUCUCUAGUACCUAAAAUCAAAGAAAGAAAACUAAAUCAAAUAUCAAAAGUAAAUUAAACAAAACAAGGUAAUUAGCAAAACAAAUGGUGCGAAAUAUAUAAGCACACAAAUUAAACCCUCUUUUGACAAUUGUAGUAUAUGUAUAAGUAGGGAUAGUUCUAGACCGGGGAUUAGGAGGGAUUGCUAAAACACUUGAAACUGACUUGAAAACGUAAAACUAAGUUUGGAACACUAAACUAGACUCAAAGAAUGCAAACCUAAACUCUAAUAUACUAAAACAACUCAAAUGACUCAAAACAACACAAAACAAGCUAAUAAACUCAAAACAGACACUAAGAGUAAAUUUGGACAAAAAUUAGUUUUAACUUGACUUAAAACACUUAAAAACACAAACUAAAACAGUUUCUAACUAAUGUGACUCAACAAAGUAAAGGGGGAAUUGGUUUUGACGAAAUUGAAAGUAGAACAAGUAAAUUAAAGACAGAGAAUCUGCACGAAAUUAGGGAAAAAUAUGGAUGAUUGGUUAGCUAGAGUUCCUUCUCCACACAUGCCACACUUGCAUACAAAUUGAUGUUCAGUUGUUCUUUCGAUAAACCAUAAACCUCAAUGCCCCAGAUUAACCAUGAAUUUAACCCUCAGAUUUUCGUAUUUUCAUUGAAUUGGAUGAUUGCAUGCGACAACCCAAAUUAUUCCUCACAAGUUCCCUACAUGAAUUGCAUAAUAAAGAUACGAGCAAAGAUCAUUAAGUUCUAUGAAAAUCAUAAGCAUUGACAAGGCACUUGUAACUAUGAAUUGCAUGAUACUUAUGCCAGGAAUUUACUUAACACGAUCGUGACUAGCAACCUCUACUACUUGUGAAUAUAAGUUCAUAACGAUUAGGUGAAACUCCCUUAUAUUCUAGCAUUAAAUUCAUGCAUGCAAACUAAGUGUUAACCUUUAAUCAACAUACAAGAAUAAGUUAUCAAUCAAGCCAUUAAGUAAAUUGCAUUCAAGGUUUAUGAAAUCACAACUGAAAGUAAUCAAUUCAUAUUGCAAAUAUAUUCAUGGCUUUGAAUUCCCUCUAGCAAAAACAGGUUUAGCCACUCAUGUUCACAGAACAAAGGUAAACAAAUUUAUACAUUGAAAACAAAUGAAAGAAAACACCUAAACGCUCCAGCAAUCCAAUUUGAACAACAAGUACAUCCAAGAACUUUCCUUCCCUUCCUUUGCUGCAGCACAAGUAAUGGGUGAUGGUUUGGAUGGUUAUAUGUAUGGAAGAAUGGCUUAAGGUUAUGUAGGAGGUGCGGCUAGAAGUAUAGAGAUGGAUGUAUGGAUGAAUGGUUGGUGUAUGGCGUGAUGAGUGGUGAAUGAGUGCGGCUGGAAGUGGAUAGAUGUGUAGAAUGGUGAAUCCUCAAUAGAUGCGGCUAGGGUGUUUAUUUAAAGACUUUAGGGUAUUUAAGACUAGGAAAUAAUUUAGGUAAAAAAAAUUAAACCAAAACAUAAAGGGAAAUAGGAAUUAAAGUCAGAAUCCUUAGGAAAAUGUAAAGGGAUAUGCGGCAAGGAUCUUUAGAGAAGGGAAAAGGGUAUGUGAAACAAGAAAAAGGAAAGGAAGGCUCUCCCUUGCACGGCAAGGAAGAGCAAGGACAAGGGAGGCAUGGCAUUGCUUUAAAUGGUGCAAGGAACCUUUGGUUUGUGUCCUAAAAUGCAUAGGAGACCUUCAAUGUUGCUGGAACUUAGGGACAUUUAGGAUUAGGAAAGGUCAAACCAAAAUAGGAAACCUUGGUUAACUUUCCUACUUCAAGUAGGAAUCCUCAUUCUUCUAGGAAUCCUCUUUCAAUUAGGAAUCUUCACAUCUUUAGGUCUUUAAUUUCGUCCAUUCCUUUAGCUCCAAGCAUGUGUCAUCCAUUCCAAGCCCAAUUUUGCUCCAAAAAGGCUCCAAAUGCACUUCUUUGCCACAUUAGCCAUAUAAACCUGAAAUUGCACGUAAACACUAAAAUAACUAAGGAAUAACAACAAAAAUGCACAAGAACAAGCUAACUAAGUCGCAUAAAUAUGCUCCUAUCAACAAAGAAAACAAGAAAACAAAACAAAGUCAGAAACUAAAAACAAAAGACAUGAAAAAGAAACAAAAAGAAACAACGGGGUAUUAGCAAAGUUGCUAAUCCCCGACAAUGGCACCAAAAAUUUGAUGCGAAAUAUAUAAGCACACAAAUUAAACCCUCUUGUUGACAAUUGUAGUAUAUAUGUAAGUAGGGAUCGUUAUAGGCCAGGGAUUAGGAGGGAUUGCUAAAACACUUGAAACUGACUUGAAAACGUAAAACUAAGUUUGGAACACUAAACUAGACUCAAAGAAUGCAAAACUAGACUCUAAUACACUAAAACAACUCAAAUGACUCACAACAGCACAAAACAAGCUAAAUGACUCAAAACAGACACUAAAAAUGAAUUUGGACGAAAAUUGGUUUUACCUUGACUCAAAACACUUAAGAACACAAACUAAAACAGUUUCUAACUAAUAUGACUCAACAAAGUAAAGGGGGAUUUGGUUUUAACGAAUUUGAAAGUAAAACAAACUGAUUGUAAACUAAAACAAAGUUUGGAUGAAAUUGGGUAAAUUGGAUGGAUGAUGGGCUAGCUAAAGGGUUCUUCUCCAAACAUGACACACUUGCAUAUGAAUCGAUUUCCAAUUGUUUCUUUCAAUAAACAAUAAAUCUCACCACCCCAGAUUAAUUAGGUACGCUUAAAUUAACCCUCAGAUUUUCCUUAUAUCAUUGAAUUGGACAAAAAAUAGCGCAUUGCAAUCAAAUUAUUCUUCAAAAGUUCCCUACAUGAAAGCGCAUAAUAGAGAUACAAUCAAAGAUCAUUAAGUUCUAUGAAAAUCAUAAGUAUUGACAAGGCAUUCGUAACUAUGAAAGCGCAUGAUACUUAUGCUAGGAAUUUACUUAACACGAUUGUGACUAGCAACCUCCACUACUUAUGAAUAUAAGUUCAUAACGAUUAGGUGAAACUCCCUUAUAUCCUAGCAUCAUAUUUAUGUAUGCAAAUUAAGUGUGCACUCUUAACCCACUGAUAUGAUAUUUAACUAGCACUCAAAUUAACCGUCUUUUUAUCAAUUGUAGUAAGUAUGUAAGUAGGGAUCGUUCUAGGCCGGGGAUUAGAAGGGAUUGCUAAAUCACUUGAAAACUGACUCAAAAACGUAAAAACAAAGUUUAAAACACUAAACUAGACUCAAAGAAUGUAAACCUAUAACUUAAAACACCAAAACAAACCAAAAGACUCAAAAUAACACAAAAACACUCAAAACUUCCUCAAAACCACUUUCUGGGCAGUUUUGAACUCUAAACAAGAUUUUGACGAAAAUAGGUUUUAACUUGACUCAAAAC